GACCUGCGGAAGGAUCAUUACCGAGUUUUCGAGCUCCGGCUCGACUCUCCCACCCUUUGUGAACGUACCUCUGUUGCUUUGGCGGCUCCGGCCGCCAAAGGACCUUCAAACUCCAGUCAGUAAACGCAGACGUCUGAUAAACAAGUUAAUAAACUAAAACUUUCAACAACGGAUCUCUUGGUUCUGGCAUCGAUGAAGAACGCAGCGAAAUGCGAUAAGUAAUGUGAAUUGCAGAAUUCAGUGAAUCAUCGAAUCUUUGAACGCACAUUGCGCCCCUUGGUAUUCCGGGGGGCAUGCCUGUUCGAGCGUCAUUACAACCCUCAAGCUCUGCUUGGAAUUGGGCACCGUCCUCACUGCGGACGCGCCUCAAAGACCUCGGCGGUGGCUGUUCAGCCCUCAAGCGUAGUAGAAUACACCUCGCUUUGGAGCGGUUGGCGUCGCCCGCCGGACGAACCUUCUGAACUUUUCUCAAGGUUGACCUCGGAUCAGGUAGGGAUACCCGCUGAACUUAAGCAUAUCAAUAGCGGAGGAA
rnacentral:rRNA from 1 species